rnacentral:rRNA from 1 species
GACGAACGCUGGCGGCGUGCUUAACACAUGCAAGUCGAACGGAAAGGCCCUGCUUUUGUGGGGUGCUCGAGUUGCGAACGGGUGAGUAACACGUGAGUAACCUGCCCUUGACUUUGGGAUAACUUCAUGAAACUGGGGCUAAUACCGGCUAGGAGCUCCUGCUUCAUGGUGGGGGUUGGAAAGUUUCGGCGGUUGGGGAUGGACUCGCGGCUUAUCAGCUUGUUGGUGGGGUAGUGGCUUACCAAGGCUUUGACGGGUAGCCGGCCUGAGAGGGUGACCGGACAAAUUGGGACUGAGAUACGGCCCAGACUACUACGGGAGGCAGCAGAGGGGAAUAUUGCACAAUGGGCGGAAGCCUGAUGCAGCAACGCAGCGUGCGGGAUGACGGCCUUCGGGUUGUAAACCGCUGUCGCCUGUGACGAAGCGUGAGUGACGGUAAUGGGUAAAGAAGCACCGGCUAACUACGUG